rnacentral:rRNA from 1 species
GCCCUUUUCCGGUUGAUCCUGCCGGAGGCCAUUGCUAUCGGGGUCCGAUUAAGCCAUGCUAGUCGCACGGGUUUAGACCCGUGGCGGAAAGCUCAGUAACACGUGGCCAAACUGCCCUGUGGAUCAGGAUAACCUCGGGAAACUGAGGCUAAUUCUGAAUAAGGCUCACAUCUUGGAGUAGAGUGAGUCUGAAAUGCUACGGCGCCACAGGAUGUGGCUGCGGCCGAUUAGGUAGACGGUGGGGUAACGGCCCACCGUGCCCAUAAUCGGUACGGGUUGUGAGAGCAAGAGCCCGGAGACGGUAUCUGAGACAAGAUACCGGGCCCUACGGGGCGCAGCAGGCGCGAAACCUUUACACUGUGCGAGAGCGCGAUAAGGGGACCCCGAGUGCGAGGGCAUAUAGUCCUCGCUUUUCUGGACUGUAGGGAGGUCUAGGAAUAAGAGCUGGGCAAGACCGGUGCCAGCCGCCGCGGUAAUACCGGCAGCUCAAGUGAUGGCCGAUUUUAUUGGGCCUAAAGCGUCCGUAGCCGGCCAGACAGGUCCGUCGGGAAAUCUGCACGCCCAACGUGCAGACGUCCGGCGGAAACCAGCUGGCUUGGGGCCGGAAGACCCAGGGGGUACGUCCGGGGUAGGAGUGAAAUCCUGUAAUCCCGGACGGACCGCCGGUGGCGAAAGCGCCCUGGGAGGACGGACCCGACGGUGAGGGACGAAAGCUAGGGUCACGAACCGGAUUA